GGAGGCAAUGUGGCUAUUCCGAAGCCGGAACAAGUUCUCAAUGGAAGGGCCAAUGGAUAUGACUUCAUCAGCCAGGCCAUUGUUGGUGAUCUUGACGCAACCAUUUAAUGCAGAACCUCAAGGCACAGACAGCCAUUGCCGAGGGCCAGCAAACUCUGGUCACAGAUGUGCCGGCCGCGGUUCAUAUGCAGCACUCUUAGCUUAUUGCAGUACAACCCGAUUGCAGACCAGCCAGGUAAAUGGACACCAUGGCAAACAGCAAGGUUCCACUCCUCAAGCAGUGGGCACCCACUGGCUAUUGCUAAUCAUCUGUGAGGUAGCGACACAUCCUGAGAUUCAGAACGCAGAGGCUUUUAGCAAAAGCAAGGUUACCAAUAAACCAUCUGGAGAAAGCAUGCAAGACUCAGCUUCAAGGCAACAAAACGAACUCGAACAGCCUUUGAAUCCAGCACCAGACAGACGCCUGCAACCUGUAAUGCUUAGUGUGCAAAUGAUUGAACAGUUGCUAAAGACUCCAGAGAUCC
rnacentral:misc_RNA from 1 species